CUGCAUUCAGACAUGGUGAAUGAUUUCAUCUUUAUGGAGGAUUUCCAGCAAGUCCUUCUUCAGAGAAGAAAGUUAUACAUGAUGCUUGGUAACAACACAGGCAAAAGUCAAGUUAUUGCUGAAGACUGUUAAGCCAAGGUUGUCGAUUGAGAAGAUUCACCAGGAUUUCUCCCUCUUGGAUUUCUCUGUCAUUCCCAGGCAUCGGAUUUGCUGUCACAGGUGUUAUAUCUGAGCUGCAGUCCAGAAAUCCAAGACUCUAGGAAGACAGAGCAGAGAGUAGUCUCAUGCUUCAAUAAACUGAUGGGAAUUCAAUUACUGAGUCUAAUAUUGUUCUUGGUUUAAGUCAACAGGAGAUAAACUUGCAAAGCGAGGGCACAAAUGCACCCUUAAAAGUUUCUGAGGUGAUAAACACUCUGCUUUCUUUGAUUUCAGAAGGAACUGCAUGGCCUUGCCAUCUGAGGCGAAAGUUUACAAACAAUAUCAUCUUUAUUUCAUUUAUUCCUUGAUGUUUAGAGGACUGUUGAAAGUCUCCAAGACAAGUGAAUAAGAGCUUUCACAGCUGAGAAAUGGAAUAUAAAUUCAGCUACUUGAGUAGCCAUUGAACAUUUGUUCAAGAUACUUGCCUUUUUUUUUCUGUAACUUGUUUCUCUUGUCUCAUCUAUCAGCCAAUUACAAGAUUCUCCAAACUGCUUGGAUUGUCAAUUCCUUAACCAAAGAACAGACUUAACUUUUGAAAUAAGCUCUGUGAUUUGUUAUUCCUAUUGUUUCUGAUGUCUACUUUGAUUGCAUAUGUAAGUAAUGCAUAUAAGUAGCCAGUAUAAUACAAAUUGCAACCCUUA